ACCGAGAUCAUAAGACCAUACCAAAGUUUGACCGUGGUGCCAAAAAAAAUAGGUGACAGCACAAAAUAUUGGCCAUAUUUCAAGGAUUGUGUUGGAGCAUUGGAUGGGACUCAUAUAAAUGCAGUUGUAAGCGAUGAUGAUGGUGUGGCACAUCGAGGGCGUAAAGGAAAAAAAACAUGGAAUGUUUUGGCUGCCUGUUCCUUUGAUAGGCUUUUCACGUUUAUCAACGUUGGAUUUGAAGGUAGUGCUCAUGAUAUUACUGUAUGGAACCAUUGCUUAACUGUACCAGAAUUUCGAUUUCCCCAUCCACCUCCAGGAAAAUAUUAUCUAGUAGAUUCUGGAUAUCCGAAUACCGUUGGAUAUUUGAGUCCAA